UACGAAGGGGGCUAGCGUUGCUCGGAAUUACUGGGCGUAAAGGGCGCGUAGGCGGCACUGUUAGUCAGGCGUGAAAGUCCUGGGCUCAACCUGGGAACUGCGCUUGAUACGGCAGAGCUAGAGGAUGGAAGAGGCUCGCGGAAUCCCCAGUGUAGAGGUGAAAUUCGUAGAUAUUGGGAAGAACACCGGUGGCGAAGGCGGUGCUCUGGGCCGGAACUGACACUGAGGAGCGAAAGCGUGGGUAGCAAACAGG
rnacentral:rRNA from 1 species